rnacentral:rRNA from 1 species
UACAGAGGGUGCAAGCGUUAAUCGGAAUUACUGGGCGUAAAGCGUGCGUAGACGGUUAUGUAAGUCGGGUGUGAAAGCCCCGGGCUCAACCUGGGAAUGCCAUUCGAGACUGCAUAGCUAGGGUGCGGAAGAGGGAAGCGGAAUUUCAGGUGUAGCGGUGAAAUGCGUAGAUAUCUGAAGGAACACCAGUGGCGAAAGCGGCUUCCUGGUCCAACACCGACGUUCAGGCACGAAAGCGUGGGGAGCAAACAGG